GACGAACGCUGGCGGCGUGCCUAAUACAUGCAAGUUGAGCGCUGAAGGUUGGUACUUGUACCAACUGGAUGAGCAGCGAACGGGUGAGUAACGCGUGGGGAAUCUGCCUUUGAGCGGGGGACAACAUUUGGAAACGAAUGCUAAUACCGCAUAAAAACUUUAAACACAAGUUUAAGGUUUGAAGGAUGCAAUGGCAUCACUAAAGGAGGAUCCCGCGUUGUAUUAGCUAGUGGGUGAGGUAAAGGCCCACCAAGGCGAUGAUACAUAGCCGACCUGAGAGGGUGAUCGGCCACAUUGGGACUGAGACACGGCCCAAACUCCUACGGGAGGCAGCAGUAGGGAAUCUUCGGCAAUGGACGAAAGUCUGACCGAGCAACGCCGCGUGAGUGAAGAAGGUUUUCGGAUCGUAAAACUCUGUUGGUAGAGAAGAACGUUGGUGAGAGUGGAAAGCUCAUCAAGUGACGGUAACUACCCAGAAAGGGACGGCUAACUACGUG
rnacentral:rRNA from 1 species